GGUUGUGGUGGUAUGCCGUAAAGCGUUUUCUGCCAGCGUUGUCUUAUAAAUACUCUUCAGACUCCUUGAACGGUCUCAUUUCGUCAGUCUUCAGGAUCGCUUUGGUAAAGUAGCAUGCUAACAUACUCUGUCGACGGUGCUGCUAAAUGCAGCAAUGAAGGAAAUUACAGACUCCACAUUUGGCUAUCUUGAGUUGAGCCAGAACUCUGUGCGCCAGAAGCUCUUCCACGCGGGAAAAGCUUAACAUGAAGAUGUUUAAUUCAAGAUCAAACUCGGCUUCAACCGCUUCAAGGAGCAACUGAGUUGCCCUGAAUACCCAAGAGUUCCUGAGCUUGUGGUCAUUUGCCGAGUCAUGUCUACCAAAUGGCCACGGGGUGGCUCAAGCCCUGAUGCAGAGCGGCCCUUUGGCCUGUUGUAUCAUGUGCCAAGGGCUCUGAGAGGGUAAUGAAUUAAGUACACCAGGACUGGUCUUUUGAUGAUCCAGAACUUGGCUGAAUGAUACAUCUCCAGUGAAGGUUGUGCAUCCCUGGCCAACAAAUGACCAGAGUAAGGUGAUCUGUUUCAGCCCUGCAUGCACCCAUCAAGUUAAGAGGUGUUUGAAGAAAUUAACAAGAUGAAUGCUUUCUCCAAGAUGCAAUUGAAAAUGUAGCUCAAUCUGACCUGUUGAGCUUCUGAUAAUUUCAAUAAAAUUAUUGGUAAUGCAA